UACGGAGGGUGCAAGCGUUAUCCGGAUUCACUGGGUUUAAAGGGUGUGUAGGCGGAUAUUUAAGUCAGUGGUGAAAUCUCCAGGCUCAACCUGGAAACUGCCAUUGAUACUAUUUAUCUUGAAUAUCGUUGAGGUAGGCGGAAUAUGAUCAUGUAGCGGUGAAAUGCUUAGAGAUGACAUAGAACACCAAUUGCGAAGCAGCUUACUAAACGAUUAUUGACGCUGAGGCACGAAAGCGUGGGGAUCAAACAGG
rnacentral:rRNA from 1 species